UACGUAGGGCGCAAGCGUUAUCCGGAAUUAUUGGGCGUAAAGAGCUCGUAGGCGGUUUGUCGCGUCUGCCGUGAAAGUCCGGGGCUCAACUCCGGAUCUGCGGUGGGUACGGGCAGACUAGAGUGCGGUAGGGGUGACUGGAAUUCCUGGUGUAGCGGUGGAAUGCGCAGAUAUCAAGAGGAACACCUGAGGUGAAGACGGGUUGCUGGGCUGACACUGACGCUGAGGCGCGAAAGCCAGGGGAGCAAACGGG
rnacentral:rRNA from 1 species